CCCUAGCACCACAUGCUUGAGAAAAAUCUUGCAUGAAAGUUUUAUGACUGUAGUCUGGUGAACCGAGUGUAUACAAAAAUUUCUCCUGAACAAUUUAAUUAUAUUGACAAUAGACAUGAACAUAUAUACCAAACAUAAACUUAUUUCUAAAGUGCAGGUCAUGAGGCCAUCUUCGUGCAGGAUGUGCUUUAAACAUAAGUAAUUCUCUUACUACAACUAGGAAGAGUGAGCAUUCAGAUCUGAAGGCAAUGCCAAUUGACCAGCUGUUCUCCACUUGAAAGCAGG
rnacentral:lncRNA from 1 species